rnacentral:rRNA from 1 species
CCUACGGGAGGCAGCAGUGAGGAAUAUUGGUCAAUGGACGCAAGUCUGAACCAGCCAUGCCGCGUGCAGGAAGACGGCUCUAUGAGUUGUAAACUGCUUUUGUACGAGGGUAAACGCAGAUACGUGUAUCUGUCUGAAAGUAUCGUACGAAUAAGGAUCGGCUAACUCCGUGCCAGCAGCCGCGGUAAUACGGAGGAUUCAAGCGUUAUCCGGAUUUAUUGGGUUUAAAGGGUGCGUAGGCGGUCGGAUAAGUUAGAGGUGAAAUCCCGAGGCUCAACUUCGGAAUUGCCUAUGAUACUGUUAGGCUAGAGAGUAGUUGCGGUAGGCGGAAUGUAUGGUGUAGCGGUGAAAUGCUUAGAGAUCAUACAGAACACCGAUUGCGAAGGCAGCUUACCAAGCUACGUCUGACGUUGAGGCACGAAAGCGUGGGGAGCAAACAGGAUUAGAUACCCGAGUAGUC